rnacentral:rRNA from 1 species
UACGUAGGGUGCGAGCGUUGUCCGGAAUUAUUGGGCGUAAAGAGCUCGUAGGCGGUGUGUCACGUCGGCCGUGAAAACCUGCAGCUUAACUGUGGGCGUGCGGUCGAUACGGGCAUCACUGGAGUUCGGCAGGGGAGACUGGAAUUCCUGGUGUAGCGGUGAAAUGCGCAGAUAUCAGGAGGAACACCGGUGGCGAAGGCGGGUCUCUGGACAGUUC